AGACUAAAUGCAGGCGCAGUACGUGAUGGCUGGCUUCUUGCAUUACGACCCCGAGCCACAGCCCCCUGGCCGACAAGAGGGAUAUCAACGAGGUGCAAGAAUCCGUGAGGAUGUCAUGCGGCGUUUGUAAAGAAAGACAAAACUCAAGGUUCAUGUUUUAACUGCAUCUUUUAAUGAUUGUGCAAUUUCUUGCAUCACUUCUCUCAUCUGCCGUAGCUCAUCUGCAACCCCGUUGACAGCGUUUAUUGUCUCUCGCUG